GACUGGGAUAGCUCAGUCAGCAGAGUCUGAGACUCUUAAUCUCACUGUUGUGGGUUCGAGAGAGCCCCACGUUGGGCA